CCUACGGGCGGCUGCAGUGGGGAAUAUUGGACAAUGGGCGAAAGCCUGAUCCAGCCAUGCCGCGUGUGUGAAGAAGGCCUUCGGGUUGUAAAGCACUUUCAGUGGGGAAGAAAGCCUUGGGGCUAAUACCCUCGAGGAAGGACAUCACCCACAGAAGAAGCACCGGCUAACUCCGUGCCAGCAGCCGCGGUAAUACGGAGGGUGCGAGCGUUAAUCGGAAUUACUGGGCGUAAAGCGCGCGUAGGCGGUCUGAUAAGCCGGUUGUGAAAGCCCCGGGCUCAACCUGGGAACGGCAUCCGGAACUGUCAGGCUAGAGUGCAGGAGAGGAAGGUAGAAUUCCCGGUGUCGCGGUGAAAUGCGUAGAGAUCGGGAGGAAUACCAGUGGCGAAGGCGGCCUUCUGGACUGACACUGACGCUGAGGUGCGAAAGCGUGGGUAGCAAACAGGAUUAGAUACCCCAGUAGUC
rnacentral:rRNA from 1 species